ACGAAGCCGUUCGAGAGCGGACGUCCACAACCCAGAAAAAGUGCUAACGUCGCUCCUUCGGCCUCGAUCGAGCGUUGACAGCGUGGCGCGGCUUGCCGAAUGGACGUCGGGGGUCUGCGAAGCCGGUCUGCGGUUAGGUGGAGUCGCUGGCGACCGUUCUGCAGUGCUGCACAGAACCUGCAGUUGCAGGUGAGGUGGCUGCCCAGAAACCGACAACCCCGACCUCCUCCGACCUCGAUCGCUGCCCAGAAGAGGUAUGGGACUCCUCCGGCCUCCCUUUGGCCAGCCUAGCGCCGCCGUCGCCGCCGCCUGGAACCGCUUGCUGCGUCGACGUCCAAACUUUAGUGAAAGUGCGGACGUCCGCCUAUGAUCAGGCCUGUGAUAUAUACACAAAGUUACCAAAAGACAUGUAUGUUUUUAACGUUCCAUAAUGCCUCGAUGGUAAAACAAUCACAUGGUAGACCAGUAGUGGUCAAGUUGGUCAACCAUGGAGAACACAAGUACACGAGUUAGGCGGCCGUUAGUAACAGUAAAUAG
rnacentral:lncRNA from 1 species